rnacentral:rRNA from 1 species
UACAGAGGUCUCAAGCGUUGUUCGGAUUCAUUGGGCGUAAAGGGUGCGUAGGCGGCGCGGUAAGUCGGGUGUGAAAUCUCGGAGCUUAACUCCGAAACUGCAUUCGAUACUGUCGUGCUUGAGGACUGGAGAGGAGACUGGAAUUUACGGUGUAGCGGUGAAAUGCGUAGAUAUCGUAAGGAAGACCAGUGGCGAAGGCGGGUCUCUGGACAGUUCCUGACGCUGAGGCACGAAGGCCAGGGGAGCGAACGGG